GUCUGCUUAGCGCAGUGGUUAGCGCGUCUGCUUUACACGCAGAAGGUCGUGAGUUCAAUCCUCACAGUGGACA
rfam:Gonapodya prolifera JEL478 unplaced genomic scaffold M427scaffold_30, whole genome shotgun sequence.